rnacentral:rRNA from 1 species
UGCAUUUGCAACCUGAGCUCACACGUGAUUACCCGCUGAACUUAAGCAUAU